GGGCCUGGCUGCCAACUGAACAGGACGCACGGUGAGGGAGCUCCUCAACCCUAAAGCAUAUACAUGCUAAAAACACGACAAUCUGCCCCACAAUCUCACCCAACAAGGACAUACCUUGAAUUGUAAGCAAACUGGCAGCAUUGGGGUGAAAACUCGAUGGCAAAACAAGCCCGCGUUGCAGAGGGCGCCUUGCGGCCUACUAAUAGACACCGGGCGGGAGACGCGGCCGGUCUCCUGUCCACUACUCGACUCACAAGCAGCUUGGGUCUCGCUUUCCCCCCCUCUGGGCCGGUGGGGGUCAUCCCGGUCCCCGCUGGGCUACAUGCUAAGGUCCUCCCGGGUCAAUGUGAACUGCCCACACGACAAACAAAAUGCCGUGCAGAGACACCCAAGAUGGCGGCUGCGCCUAUGAUUCAAACGUGGAUGCUACAUCCAACCGAACUAACUGAAGCACU